GUGUCAGCAGCCGCGGUAAUACGUAGGGGGCAAGCGUUGUCCGGAAUCAUUGGGCGUAAAGAGCGUGUAGGCGGCCCGAUAAGUCCGCUGUGAAAGUCCAGGGCUCAACCCUGGAAUGCCGGUGGAUACUGUCGGGCUCGAAUCCGGAAGAGGUGAGUGGAAUUCCUGGUGUAGCGGUGAAAUGCGCAGAUAUCAGGAGGAACACCAAUGGCGAAGGCAGCUCACUGGGACGGUAUUGACGCUGAGACGCGAAAGCGUGGGGAGCAAACAGGAUUAGAAACCCUUGUAGUCC
rnacentral:rRNA from 1 species